CGCUCCAAUCUCAGCCGUCAGCUCCUCUUCAGGUCCCAGGACGUUGGUAGACCCAAGGCAGAGGUGGCUGCAGCAGCUGCCCGGGGCCUGAACCCAGACUUACAGGUGAUCCCGCUCACCUACCCACUGGAUCCCACCACAGAGCACAUCUAUGGGGAGAACUUUUUCUCCCGUGUGGAUGGCGUGGCUGCCGCCCUGGACAGUUUCCAGGCCCGUGAGUGCUUGACUUCGGAGGCCAGUCCCUUGCCCGCAGCUGUGCCAGUCCCACUUCUGACCCACUGCUCCCUUGCCAGGGCACUAUGUGGCUGCUCGUUGCACCCACUAUCUGAAGCCACUGCUGGAGGCAGGCACAUCGGGCACCUGGGGCAGUUGUUCAGUAUUCAUGCCACAUGUGACUGAGGCCUACAGAGCCCCUGUCUCAGCUGCAGCUUCUGAGGAUGCCCCCUACCCUAUCUGUACCGUGCGGUACUUCCCUAGCACAGCCGAGCACACCCUGCA
rnacentral:sRNA from 1 species